AGCGAACGUUAGCGGCGGGCUUAACACAUGCAAGUCGAGCGAGAAAGGGGCUUCGGCCCUGAGUACAGCGGCGGACGGGUGAAUAACACGUAGGUAACCUUCCUUCCAGCGGGGGACAACGGUCCGAAAGGACCGCUAAUACCGCAUACGUUCCCUGGGACCCUGGUCCCGGGGAGGAAAGCUCCGCAAGGGGCACUGGAUGAGGGGCCUGCGUAGCAUCAGCUAGUUGGUGGGGUAAUGGCCUACCAAGGCUAAGACGCUUAGCUGGUCUGAGAGGAUGAUCGGCCACACUGGGACUGAGACACGGCCCAGACUCCUACGGGAGGCAGCAGUGGGGAAUAUUGGACAAUGGGCGCAAGCCUGAUCCAGCCACGCCGCGUGAGUGAUGGAGGCCUUCGGGUCGUAAAGCUCUGUGGGAGGGACGGAAUGGCGCCGUGAAGAGCGGCGAGUGACGGUACCUCCUUAGCAAGCACCGGCGUAACUUCGUGCCAGCAGCCGCGGUAAAGUCUGUACU
rnacentral:rRNA from 1 species